GCCUACGUGGUGCAGCGGUUAGCACGCUCGGCGCGUAUUCGAGAGGUCCAUGGUUCGAGUCCCGGUGAGGGCA
rnacentral:tRNA from 1 species